ensembl:snRNA U6 U6 spliceosomal RNA
GGACUUGCUUCUGCAGUGCAUAUACUAAGAGAUGGGAUGAUCAGAGAUUAGCAUGGGCCCUGUACAAGGAAGACAUACACACUUGUAAAGAUUUCAGCAUUAAG